GCGCGGAGUUAGAAAAAAAGAAAAAAAUUAAGCGCUUUAGUCAAACACGAAGCUGUUAUUUCUCUCCGUCCCACUCCCUCUCCCUCGCCCUCUCCCUCUCCCUCUCCCUCGUCGCUGCAAAUACACAGACCGACCGACUGCCUCCUUCGGCUGGAGAUCGAAACUGCCGUCAAAUUCAAAGCCCUCAAAAAGGUUGCGAGCCUAUCGUGUGUUAUGUUUUUUAGGUUGGAUAAAAAAAACCAUCAAAGCUGCCAAGAACUCGAAGAGGGGCAAAUGUUUUGUGGAAGGGACUGAGGAACAGGGCAAAGGUUUUGGAAUCUGCACUAGAUGAUGCUAAUAGUAGAGGAUCCGACAUUGAAGAAUCGUGCAAGGCAAGUGAUGUAGAGAAGACGAGAGCUGCAACUGCGAUUAAUACAAUCUUGUCCAGAGUUAAUGGCCAUCCUAGCUAGUUUGUGGGAAGAGAUCCAGCUUAUCAGGGAACUGAUCUGCACUUGCCAGACAUGAGCAAGGAGUUUAUGCAAGUGAUGCCUUCUUCAAAUUGACGGGUAACAUGUACAAUGUUAGCUAUUUGCCAGGAUCUCUCUAAACCCUUCUAAACUCCUUGUUGUUUGCAAAUUUUUUGAAUAAUCCAACAUAUGUAGUUGUUACACAACUCAUAUGUAGAUGUGUACAAUCUUGGCAGAGCUGUAACUAUGCGUUUUGUGUUGCACAAGUAAUCCUGUUCUCAAGAGCGGUUCAGUUUACUGCUGCAAACUUUCAUCGUGUAUUGUUGACAAAUUGGUUAGGCUUUCAUGGUUUAUCGUAACACUAUGGUGUUAUUGCAGCCCAUCCCCAAUUUCUAAUUUUUAACAGCUUGUUGUAUCAAAGUGUCUUCUAUUGAAUGUGUUUUCUUCUUGCCAAGGAUGCUUUUUAGCCAUCGGUUCUUUAUACGAUUCUCUCUCCUCUCAGAAACCCAGACCCGAACCCAGUUGCCGAUACCCAGAUCAUUGUAGGUCUAUAACCUUUCUCUUAUUUGAAAUUUCAAUUUUCAAGGUUCGAUCCAUCUCUAUUCGCUUAAUCUGUAAUUUGGAGUUUAUUUCUUCUUUUUUGAUUUUCUGGUCAAUAGAUGUUUUCAGGUCCAGUGUUCUUCUUUCGAAAGAUUUCUAAUAGCUUGGUUUGACAAGUGCAAGUCUAUAUUAACUUAGUCUUCUCUUCAUCAAGAUUAUAAUAAUAAUACUAUUAAAUUAGUCUUGUUAUUUUUAUUCCAGGUGCGUGUGCUUGAAAUUAAUGUAGUUGCACUUGCUUAUGAGGCUGGUGAUGGUGAAUUUUAUCUCAAGUAUAUCGUAUGAAUUAUCCCUCUGUUAUGUUUUCUCAUGGAUUCCUAACUUGUGUUACUCUAUCAUUCAGCUAAUGACAAGAAUAUAUUGUAUAUUUUGUCCCUCUAUUGUGCACAACACUCUGAGCAAGGAGCUUUGUACUGGUAAGUUUGAUUGUGCUAGGAAUAUAUUGUACGCUUUGCUUGCUCUGCCUUGUGUUUAUUUCAAGUACAUAGACGAAUAGUUUGAUUAUGUCUAUGCUAGACAUGAGCAAGGAGCAUUGUGUAAGCAAUUUUGAUUCCCCAAUAAGUUACAACUGUCGUCAUUAAUAAAAUUUGAUCAAGUUGUGAGAAA